rnacentral:misc_RNA from 1 species
GCAAACUUGGUCAUUUAGAGGAAGUAAAAGUCGUAACAAGGUUUCCGUAGGUGAACCUGCGGAAGGAUCAUUACAGUAUUCUUUUUGCCAGCGCUUAAUUGCGCGGCGAAAAAACCUUACACACUAUGUUUUUUGUUAUUACAAGAACUAUUGCUUUGGUCUGUCUCUAGAAAUAGAGUUGGGCCAGAGGUUUAACUAAACUUCAAUUUUAUAUUGAAUUGUUUCUAAUUUAAAAUGUCAAUUUGUUGAUUAAUUUCAAAAAAUCUUCAAAACUUUCAACAACGGAUCUCUUGGUUCUCGCAUCGAUGAAGAACGCAGC